rnacentral:rRNA from 1 species
AGUGAACGCUGGCGGUAGGCCUAACACAUGCAAGUCGAACGGCAGCACACUAAGAGCUUGCUCUUACGGGUGGCGAGUGGCGGACGGGUGAGGAAUACAUCCGAAUCUACUUUUUCGUGGAGGAUAACGUAGGGAAACUUACGCUAAUACCGCAUACGAUCUACGGGUGAAAGCAGGGGAUCUUCGGACCUUGCGCGGUUGAAUGAGCCGAUGCCGGAUUAGCUAGUUGGCCGGGUAAAGGCCCACCAAGGCGACGAUCCGUAGCUGGUCUGAGAGGAUGAUCGGCCACACGGGAACUGAGACACGGUCCAGACUCCUACGGGAGGCAGCAGUGGGGAAUAUUGGACAAUGGGCGCAAGCCUGAUCCAGCCAUACCGCGUGUGUGAAGAAGGCCUUCGGGUUGUAAAGCCCUUUUGUUGGGAAAGAAAAGCAGCAGGUUAAUACCCCGCGGUUCUGACGGUACCCAAAGAAUAAGCACCGGCUAACUUCGUG